rnacentral:lncRNA from 1 species
AAACCCCAAUGUCGUAUACUGUCACGAGUGUAGUCCCCAACCCUUUUGGAGAUAGCAUCAUUUGCGAGCAUUGCAGGCCAGAUGGGGGUCGAAUAACUUCUGCUACACGAGAAUUAUUCACAACUGCUUCCCACAAACAGCUCCCUCCAGUCAUUGACAAAUUUACCUUCGGGAGGAAAACUAUUGAAUUAGUAUUACAGACCUAGUUGUGGUGCUCUCAAACUAUGUAGAACCAGAGACAAAAAAAAAUGGGGAAAUGCAAAUACUUGUUGCAAACCAUCCAUGCUUCCAAUGUAUGCAUCAAACUAUCAAUCUACUGUUUACCAAUUUUUAAAGGGAAACGCUUCCUAAUGAGUAGGAUUUACCUUGGCAUUCGGAUUAAAAAAGACCAGGUUGAACUCUGGUGUGACUCUUAGUGUGGAAACCAACUGCAUAUUCAACCAAUUUGCAGAAAUAAGAAACAACUACAGUCGUAUCUGAGAUAGUAACAAGGUAAUUCAGAUAACUGAAGGAAAGUCUAAUUGGAGCCUUAAGCGUAGAUGAUUAAGAAAUGUGGGAGUAAUGAAUAAAGCUAUAACAAUUAGUCUUCCAAAAUGCAUACCUGUAAGCGUACAGCAUCAGUGAGAGUACUUUGAGAACCUUGUGGAAGCGGAGUUGAGUAUGAAUAAUCAAUACCAGAAACGGUAGCUCGGACAGUGCACUGUCAAAACAGUAUAUGGUAUAUAGUAAAAGAUAAAUAAAUUAACGUCGGGAGAAUGAAAUAAGGACCAGGGGUUUGGUUUAAUAUAUUUACCAAUCCUGAUUCGUUGCGAAGAGCCAGAAAUCUCUCCCAGCUAGACUUUGUCAUUUUUGAGUUAUAAUUAUCGUCCCAGUAUGCCAAAUUGUUGCAACUGGUCAGUUCCCACCUGAGAGAAAGAGUUGAGGAGUUUGAAAAAGCUUCUCCAAACUCGCUAAUACCAACAGCAGCCACACGAAUUAUCUGCCCAUUUGCCACAGUCACAGGAGUUACACGAAGUCGUCCUGGUGCCCUGUCAGCUUGACUAGCAGCUCUAAUCACAUCAAGCUUGUUAACUGUUAAAUGACAUGUACAACCUCAUGUCAUGAGCAAAUCAUGGCAUACAACAAUAGAGGUAAAUAACCUCUAGAGAAACUCUUGAAAGAUCCAACCUAUGGAAUUGGAGAUAUUGAACAUACCAGGUUCAUCAACAAUGAGCACAACAGAGGAUGGGAAGCUGCAAUGAACAGACAAUAAAGCUUCUGCAACUGCAGGUACAGGAUGGUCCAUACCCACCAGAUUCCCACGCAAGAAGACCAGUUUCUGGAUGAACAGGGAUGAGGUGACAGUGUCAUCUUCACUUUAGAUAUAAAAGGUAAUACCAACAUAUAUAAAUUAAUCACAUAGAAUGUCUGCAACUUACAUAGGAGCCAAGCUUCUGGCACGAAAUUCUAUACAUGUUAGCAUGGCGGUCAAACUCAUGAUGGACGUUAACUCUGCUUGUAAGAUCCUCCUCAUCUUCAUUCAAUGUCUUCACAGUCUCGGUGAACUCAACAUUGUCAUCCCACCUUUCAGGUCCCCCCAGAAGCAUAACGUCAACAUAUGUCCCAGGUACAAGAUAUAGCUUACUAACACCAAAAUCAGUUUCUUCUUGUGCCUUAUCAAACCAAUAUCCACCAUGAUGAUUCCCGUCACUAUCUUGUCUGACAGAAAGUGGCAGAUAGGCCCCGAUACUUAAAGUUGCUUUCAAAUCAAUUGAUUCACUCAAAGACUUAUCAAAAUAAUGGAACUCUUUUGCCAGAGUUGCUUGUAGUACUGUUCGGCCAGGAGAUGAAGUCAAUAUAGAAGCCCGUGAACAAGGAGGGCUGGAGUCCAUGGUUCUUAGUUCGUCCAACAUCAUUAUCUCAGAUGUUGCAUUAACAAUAACAAAAGAGUCACUCCCUGUCUUCCACUUUAUCAAUGAAUUAAAUGCAUCACAUCUAGAGAACAAGGCACCUGAUAUAUAUAAGAUCUCCAAGUUAGCAAUAUUAAAGAAAAUAAAGCAAACCCAAAAAACAGAGAUGAUCUAUAAACAUCAGAUGUAUUAAAAAAAUAGGUUCCGGUUAUAACCAUUUAAAGCCUUCAUUGUGACAGCAGCUUUCAGGUGUGAUCCAACAACUGUCUCUACUGGGAAGUUUUGCAACAUAACCAUAGAGGAUGGAAUGGAAACUUCAACGAUAACCUAUGGAAAACAUCAGUUGAAGCCUCACAAUUUAAAGUAGAGCCAUAGCAUGAUAAGUCACAAAAGAGUGUGAGCAUUUAAAAUAAAUAUUUUCUCUCUAUUUGUAGAACAGUAGAAGCAUCAACUAAUGGAUAAUAUGCAAUAAAGCAAAAUGUACCUCAUCAAAAUUUUGUGAAUCGAAAGUAGACACCACCUUCACAGUGGCUAUUCCAGGCCUCUUUGCCUGGAUAAUUCCAUAAGCUGACACCGACAAAAUGCUCAUAUCUGAAGUAAACCACUUGUAGUCACUCGAUGCUUUUGCACAACCUACAUUGAGGAGAACAAUCAUCAAGUCACCAUGCUUUUUCAAACUGGAAAAGAAUAGGUCACAAGAACCAUAGAUUGGGAACUAACCUCCUGUCACAAUUAGCUCCAUCUCCUGAUAAACAGCAGGGGUCCAAGGGAGUAGAAUCUUAGGUGUGUCAUCUUUACUGUUCAAUGUGAACUGCACUUUCUCACAAACCAUAAUUUCUUGGACAACUUUGAGAACCUGCUAGAGACGAAGUUGUUAAACUUGCAAUACCAACAAAUGGAAGAGACAAAAGGGUUUCCAAAGAUAUAUAAUUUUCUCACCUCUUUUGAUUCCUGAUGCCCACUGAAGUAAGUCAAUGUAGCCAUUAGCUCUCCUAAUCCUGGUGACAUUGCGUUCAAAAUUCUAGAAUUUUGCUGACCAUAUUCAGAGGAAAGUUCAUCUGGCAGUGAGAAGAUUUUCCAAUACUCUGAAUCUUUUCCAUACAGUUUUAUGUCAUCCGUCUGCAAUCAACACAAAGGAAAUUAUUAUGUUGAACAAAACUGCAAUAUUAUCUACAAUAAAUCAUCUGGACAUAACUCGGCAAAGGGAAGAGAAACUUAAAAGCAAACAAAUGAACAGCAGUGAGAAAAAAACAGCGACAAAAGACAUGUCACCAGCAGUUUCCUCUCUAGUAUAAAGAGACUCAUGACCAAAGACAAGCUUAUGGACGAUUGAUUGACAACUUAAAGAUAAAGAAACUAGUCACCACGUCCUAUAGCUAAAAAAAUACAGAGGCAAGGUAAUAUUGUCACACAAAGAAACUGGUGCAAACUACAUGUGGGCAUGCAAAAAAAGGUAUAAAAAAGAAGAGAAAUACCUCAGUUAUAUAGAUUUCAUGUGCAUCAGGUCUUCCAGAGAAAAUCUUCAUUUGAAUUAGAUAUUGACGACCAGACACCACAUACCAAUGCAUCGAUGAUGGAAAAGGUUUCGAUUCUGUAAUAAGAUCCCCUGACAUUGACCAAGGUGAUAUGUACAAGAUAAUAGUAUCUGGAGUGACAACAUUAAUAGAUGAUCCUUGAAUGUGGCCAGCGACCCGGGUAUCCUCAACAACAACUGUUGUUACCCCCAAGCUUAACGCUUUAGUCAGACCUAUCAAAGAAUCCACUUGAGCAACAGAAGUGUUCAACACAGACCAUCUAUGAUGUGGUGAUGGUAGAUGCACGGCUGCAAAUAAAAUAAACAAUGGACCAAUCAAGAACGGGAUUGGAAAGCAACAUAACAUAGCAUGUCACACUCGAGCUACAGUUACAUGUAUUUAAAAUAUGAAUCAACAUCCUAAAGCGUAUAAUUCUGCAAGUUUAAUAUGAAAAUGUACUAAGGAUGCUCUAUACAUUGUUUUCAAUUGACAUAUGUAUCAAAAAACCUCAGCUUUAAACACACAAGGUUAUCGAAUAACUCAAACAUUGCAAAAUAUCAAGUUAAUCUCCAAGAUGCAGACAAACCUUGAGGAACAUUUCCACGCAUGACCUUUAACGUGUAACCAAAAGAAGCUCCCAUCAGGACAUAGACUGGUGAACGAGGUUCAAGAGACAUGGCCUCUGCCACCGUUAGUACUAUAUCAUCGGCUAUAUGGGUCAGAGGAGCCUCAAGCAGAUGAACUGAAACCUUCUCAUGUCCAAUUUUGGUUCCCUUCACGACAAACAAAUCUGCAAAUACACCCUGCAUUUAUCAUAUCACAUUAGAUCUCUCAUCAUCAAAUUUUUAGAUUCGGUAAUUCACACUCAACAAUAAAUAUACAUACACUAUCUUCAAGCUUUUUCUGGAUAUCCAAGUAGCCACACAGUCCUCCACAGUCAGUCAACGGAGAUUCCUUCAAAGGCACAUGAGCAAGGUGAUGCGUUGAUCCACCACUUUCAGGCAUCAGCUUCCACAUGAAUUGUAGACCCACCAGUGAGGAGAACUCGUUCUCUGCAAAUAGAUUUUAGCAAAUUAAGUACAGAACAAACUGAAGAAAAACAGUGCAUUAUAUAAAAACAUUAGUCUAUUAACUUGUGACUCUUAAGAAUGUGUAUGAUAAACAAUCUCCAAUUAUAAAGCAUGAAUGAAGAAAAGGACACAGUUAAUCCAUAGAAAGCACUAACCUUCAUUAUCAAAAGCGCGGACUCUAAGCAUUGAAAGUCCAUCAAGAUCAAGCUUGAUAGAAUUAUGAAAAAUCUGAAUCCGUGAGAAGUUGUCAAUAAACACCUUGCAGCGAAUCACCAUCCCGGUCUGUAUAUCAGUGGCAUAAACUGCAGUCUCCUUUCUACCACUAUACGGAGAAAUCGAUCUGAGACGCGCGCUGGUCGAGCAAUGACUGCUCGAAUUAAACUCAGGUGUAACUGAGAGAAUGUCAUGAUGAUCCCACGACCUGCAAAUUAAAACAAAAAAAACUUAGAUUUGUAAUCACUUUGUUCACAGAUUUCGAAAUGAACAAGACACAAGGAAUAAAAACAAUUCAGCUUAAGUAUUCACAAGAAAACAGAACCUUGAUCUCUAAUAUCUCAUGACAAGUGAGAGCUUUGAUAAACGCAGCAGACACGGAAUCAACAAGUAAUACAGCUAUGAAUUGAAAAGAAAAAACUUUAAGCUUUCAUGAAAACUGUACAGAAAAAAAAUUAAUGUCCAGUAUCAAUCAUUUGAGUUCUAUAACACUCUAAUGCUCCAGAUUAGGUCGUAUCUCUGGAAUUAAGUUCGUAAACACUAGAGAACACACACUAAGCAGAAUUAAGAAUAAUCCAUUGUGGCUCCAUACAUAAAACACCAAGCAGCAUACAUAUCCAGAAAUGAACACCAUUGCCGCAAAAGCCCGAUGAAAUCAAGUAAUCAUGAAACGAUAUCACAAAUUAAGCAUUCCUUAAUCAUAUUGUUCUGAGGAACUUUGAAGCUCUAUUACAAAAAACCCAGUUAAGAAAAAGCAAUCAUUCCUCAAUCAAGCUCAUUCUAUUCACAGUUUAACAAUUGACAGAAAUUCAGCUAAGUACCAUUUGAAGCAGCCAUCACUUCCUUGAAGGCGAUACUCAACUGGGUUCUUCAUCUUCGGAGGUAAGAGUAUGUUAACAUCGGUAAUGUGUGGACCAGAACCUAAUUGCGAUGAAAUUUCUCCAGCCGAUAGCAGGAGAAGGAGAAAGAAGAAGCAGAACGAGACACGGACCAUUUUUUUGUUCUCUUUGUUUUGCUACAUCAACGCAGACGAAGGAGAGUGAAUCGAAGAAGUAGAGUAGCUUUUUUGAGUGAAGAGUGACCGUGUGAAAUCGAAGAGAGCUUGAAGAUGGAAGAGAUUGAAACCCUAAAAGUAGGGUUUUUAGAGGGGUUUAUGGAAAGGGGGAAGGAAAUUGAGGGAAACGACGGUGACGUGGAGGAAUUCUAUUGGUGGUGAGGGAGGAUUCGGUGUCGUUUUAGCGAUUUCUUGGAUUCUGCAAAGAGGAGAGUGUUGUUCUUCACGCGCCGAUGAGAUUUUGAUUUUUCAGGUGCUCGGAAGCUUUUUUUUUUUUUUUUUUUUCUUCUUGGUUUAUGUGAACUUAAAAAAGCUUUUGGGAUUUUUUUUGUCUUUAAAAGCUUGGUCCCUAGAUUUUUACAUAUUUCAAAAUUUAGCAUAAGACUUAAGUACAAUUAUAAGUUUACACAUCAACGGUUUUUUAUGGCUUUUAUGUUUUCUAAGCAGCAAGAAUUUGCUCUUUAGGGUUAAUUUACUUGAUCAUAUAUUUUUUGUUGUGUAUGCCUAUCUUCAAGAAAGUUUUUUUUUUUUUUUUCGUCUGAAUAAUUCAUGAAAUAUAACCAAGGGAGAAAUACAAAGUUGGGAUACAUGGUGAAAUACUAACGCCGGCGGGACUCUAACCCCCGGAAAACUAAGCCGGCGGGUACAUGGAAACCCCCAGAGACAAAGGCCAAAAAAGGCAGACAUAAAAGAAGGAAAACCUUAAAGUACAGGGAAAUGCAAAUAUCUAAGACUCAAGCAACACAACUGCAAACUCUUCACGAAAAGAAUCUGACGAACUUUCCAUAGAACAUUUUGGGCGCUGGAAAGUGGUUACAAACAGGAGCAACCAGAGGACCCAUCAUUAGAUUGCCUUUACAUGAAAGGCCCGAGAAGGAUACAAAAACAAGCUCACACAACCACACCCCGAGCAGAAACGAGCACAGAUAAAAGAGGAUCAGAGCACAGAUCCUAACCAUCACUACCACACCAGAAACCAGAGAAGACAAGCAGGAGAAGGGACAAGGAGAAGCCUUGAGAUCCGAAGGGGAAAACGCCAAAGAGGGCCAACAAACCUUACACGCGGACAUUCGUAGACCCAGCCAAAACCAUCUACAGCCUAAGAACUGGUUACGCCACGCAAGAGAAGGAAUAGAGACCGAGCCUACCACAUCGUCUUGAACUCAAACCUUAAAUCCAAACAAGGAAAAAGAAGAGAGCUAGUAGAUGCCUUUGCAGGAGACUACCAUCCAAAUGAAGAACCCACAAAACGAAACCUUCACAAACUCAUAACCCCAAUAACCGGGCAGAAAGUAACAAGAGGCAAAACUAGGAGUCAAUAUUGCCAUCCCUAAACUUGAAACUAAGGCUUCAUACCCUCAACCAACCAUACUACUAACCAAUCCUUGUCGAGAAACACCAACCAAAGAAGAGAGAGAUGAGAGAAAUAAAAAACCAGACCAAGAAACGAAACGAGUUCGUCUCCUUGAAACCACCAGCCACAGGACCACCACCAGAACUGAGCCACUACAAUGCCAACCUGCAGACCAAACGGAUCAGACACUAACCACCACCAAGCCUCACCGACGAUGGCUUCCCCUCCUUCAAACGAUCAUCUCUUCAAAGAGGAAUAUGACGACAAGGCCACAACAACACCAAAAUCAACAAAGCUAAGCCAAGAAAUCCAAAGAAAACGCGGGAGAAGAAGCAAAAAACGCGAGAAAGGAGGCCACGAAACCUCCGCCGCCAACCAUCCACCGAUUCUCCAUCUCCAAAAGCAACAGCCGUAAUAGUGAAGAACCACACGGGCUCCGACGAAAACACCAACCAUCCACUGAGAACCAAGCAAACCCAUCACUAGAACGGAACCAACCCAAUCGAAGCACAACCAUCUAGACCUUGUCUUUAAUCCGCCAUAGGAGAAGCCAAAGAAGACCCAAAACAAAGGAAAAGCAAUUAAAAGAUAAACAGACAGACACACCCUCUCACGACUCCGGCCAAGGGCACCGGAAAACCAGAGAGGUAACGACAGAGAUUUGAGAAGAGAAGUUGUUUGGCGGCUAGAC